rnacentral:rRNA from 1 species
UACAGAGGUCUCAAGCGUUGUUCGGAUUCAUUGGGCGUAAAGGGUGCGUAGGCGGCGCGGUAAGUCGGGUGUGAAAUCUCGGAGCUUAACUCCGAAACUGCAUUCGAUACUGCCGUGCUUGAGGACUGGAGAGGAGACUGGAAUUUACGGUGUAGCGGUGAAAUGCGCAGAUAUCAGGAAGAACACCCGUGGCGAAGGCGGCUCUCUGGGACGUGACUGACGCUGAGACGCGAAAGCGUGGGGAGCAAACAGG